AUUGAACGCUGGCGGCAUGCCUUACACAUGCAAGUCGAACGGUAACGGGCCUUCGGGUGCCGACGAGUGGCGAACGGGUGAGUAAUGCAUCGGAACGUACCCAUCAGUGGGGGAUAACUCUCCGAAAGGAGGGCUAAUACCGCAUAUUCUGUGCGCAGGAAAGCGGGGGACCGCAAGGCCUCGCGCUGAUGGAGCGGCCGAUGUCAGAUUAGCUAGUUGGUGGGGUAAAGGCCUACCAAGGCGACGAUCUGUAGCGGGUCUGAGAGGAUGAUCCGCCACACUGGGACUGAGACACGGCCCAGACUCCUACGGGAGGCAGCAGUGGGGAAUAUUGGACAAUGGGCGCAAGCCUGAUCCAGCCAUGCCGCGUGUGUGAAGAAGGCCUUAUGGUUGUAAAGCACUUUAAGCGAGGAGGAGGCUACUUUAGUUAAUACCUAGAGAUAGUGGACGUUACUCGCAGAAUAAGCACCGGCUAACUCUGUGCCAGCCGCCGCCGUAAUAC
rnacentral:rRNA from 1 species